CCCCUCUCAGGGUCGCACCUGGAGUGUUUCCAGUAUUCUAUCAGUCUUGACUAUGGGAGGGAGAGUAAUGUAGAGGCAUAUCCAUUCCACUCCUAGCUUACACAGUGGAUAGUGAGUGGAAGACAAUCUGCUACAAGU